AUUGAAGGCUGAAAUUCGCCUUCAUGAAGCUGGAAUUGCUGUAAUGGCAGGUCAGCAUACUGCCGUGAAUACGUUCCCGGGCCCUUGUACACACCGCCCGUCACACCAUGAGAGUUGGGAAUACCCGAAGCCUGUGAGCUAACUUUUAGAGGCAGCAGUCGAAGGUAGAAUCAAUGAUUGGGGUGAAGUCGUAACAAGGUAAC
rnacentral:rRNA from 1 species